rnacentral:lncRNA from 1 species
AUGCCUGAGACCGGUUCGGCCCAGGACACUGCUUUCCUACCUUAGAAAAUUAGGGAAACCUCUAGGUUUUCGGCGAUCUUAGAACUGGGUUCUCCCUUCUUUACCAGGUGAGCUCUCUCUCUCUCCCCUCCCUGCGGAACGUGGCUAGGGUUUUACGGUUCGUCUCCUCGAUUUCAUCUUUUAGGAUAGAAAUUUCGAAUUUUAAUUAGGGCGAUCUAAUUCGAUUCCGCUUGCUCUUUUAGCAGUGCCCCCAUUUUUGGGGGAGAUUUUGUUCCGCUCUUGCCUGUUCGAGCAAGAUCUGGAUAAAGAUAGCCCUUUUUAGGGGACCAUGCGCGCCUUGGAUGUCAAACUCGGAAUUUUCUGCUAGAAAAGUUGGUUUUUUUGGGGGGCUUGAUUCAGAGGGUUAUGGUAGUUAUUAGAAUUCGUUAGAGAUGUUUUUUAGGACCCUUUGUCAAAUUCAGGAGAUCGUGUUUGGUCGAUGGGAGGAUCGAGGUUGUGUCACGAAUGAUUCCAAAUUUAUGUAUUUUAUGUUGAUAAAGUUAUGUUUAUUAUAGGAUAUAUUAUUGUAAUAUUUGAUGUUACAUAAAGAGAUAUUAGUUGCUUUGAUUUGUUAGAAAAUUUCUGGGAGAUCAGGUUUAAGCUCUCUUUUAUUCUGGUUUUGUGUAUUUGCUUUUUUCAAUCCAUAUAUCUCUUCUUCUUCAUAGGAGUUUUUCUCUUGUUUUGACGCAUAUCAAUAAUAAACUCAAGCAACAAUGAUAUCUCCUUCUGGAUUACUUUGGAUGAACGGAAAUCGUUUAGGAUUUUAAUGCCACCAUGAUUAUUUGUUUAUUCUAUAGUCAUACUAGGUAUGGAAAGCUCCUUGAACUUGCAGUAAUUGGAGAAACAAACCCGUUAUUUAUCCUUCUCUUACUUUUGUCAAUAAAUACUGCAAAGUCUAGCUGUUCUUCCAUUUUUUGACCUUGACCUAAUGGUCGAAAUCUGAAAUAACAUGUUUGUAGCUUAAGCUAGUGUUCCCCAUGUAGCAUCUUCAGUGGUUUGAGGGCCCAUCAGAUGGAAGGAUUUUUAUUAUUCAGUUGUUAUAUUUCAUCAUAUCACUAGAUAAACUAACUUGUAAAACUAUUAGAUAAGGCCUUCACCCCUUGUUGAAGCUAUUUGGGAAUCUUAUAACUAACUAGCAUUUAGAUCCCUCCAGGUCCUUUAUAGCCUUUCAGAAGACUAUUAU